rnacentral:rRNA from 1 species
GGAAUCUUGCACAAUGGAGGAAACUCUGAUGCAGCGAUGCCGCGUGAGUGAAGAAGGCCUUUGGGUUGUAAAGCUCUUUUGUAGGGGAAGAUAAUGACUGUACCCUAAGAAUAAGGUCCGGCUAACUUCGUGCCAGCAGCCGCGGUAAUACGAAGAGACCUAGCGUAGUUCGGAAUUACUGGGCGUAAAGCGCGCGUAGGCCGUUGAGUUAGUUAAUUGUGAAAUCCCAAAGCUUAACUUUGGAACUGCAAUUAAAACUGCUCGACUAGAGUUUGAUAGAGGAAAGCGGAAUACAUAGUGUAGAGGUGAAAUUCGUAGAUAUUAUGUAGAACACCAGUUGCGAAGGCGGCUUUCUGGAUCAACACUGACGCUGAGGCGCGAAAGUAUGGGUAGCAAAGAGGAUUAGAUACCCUCGUAGUCCAUGCCAUAAACGAUGAUUGCUAGAUGUUGGAAAUUUAUUUUCAGUAUCGCAGCUAACGCAUUAAGCAAUCCGCCUGGGGAGUACGACCGCAAGGUUAAAACUCAAAUGAAUUGACGG